AACACACAAUUUUGAAAAAUUAAAUGUUUUCAAGUUCAGAAUCGAUUACGAACAUACACAUAUAGUACAUAUAUAUGUAUAUAUGUGUUCAGUAUACCAAUUUAUGUAUGAUUAGCAAAAAAAAUACAUAUAUAUAUGUUUAUAUAUAUAUAUAUGUAUAUAAAAUGUAGGUAUAUAUAUACCUCACGUUUUUUUUCCAUUAUAUUUUAAUGUUUAUUCUUUUUUCAGUACCAAUUAUAACACUGCUCUUAUCAUUAGUUCGAAAUAAGAUUGUUUUGAAACAUCAAGUGGGUCGAUUGAACAACCAGCAUUAUAUAAAAAACAGUACUACGUGGAUUAAUCGUCUGAAGGUUAAUACUACUAGAAUAAAAUGGGUAAAUAUUUUGGCUAAUAAAAAAUACAUCGAUAAACUAUGUAUUAAUAAACAAAUAGAAAGCAAUUUUUGUGAAGAAAACAUCAGUUUGUGUACUUUAUGCCCUGACGUAGAACGCAGAAAUAAGAAUUAUGAAACGUAUGUGAACAAAGUAUAUGAACAUGUGAAAAAUUUAACAAAAAGAGAAGAUAAAAUAAAUUAUUUAAUUAAUGAAAACAUUAAUAAAUUUAAAAAUUAUCAUUCGCUUUUGUCAAAAACAAAAUUUACCAAUAAAGAUAUUUUAUCCUAUACAAAAAAAAAAAAAACAUUUUUUAUUAAUAAAGUAAAUAGUCAUAUUUCUUAUGAACAAAUACAUACAUGUAAUACCAAUUUAUACUUAGCUAUAGAUUUAUUUGAAAACUCCAAAAUAUGUAAAAAAAAGAAAAGUAAAGAUGCUAUAAAUUAUGAUAGUAAGAAUGCUGGUCAGGAAACGGAUAGCAGUGUUAACAAAACAGGUGUAAAGAUAAAGAAAAAGAAAAAGAAAAAAUAUAAAAACGGUAUAAAUAGUUUAUUAUCUGCAUAUGGUAAUGGAAGUACUAAUGAUAAUAGACACAGUAGCAGUAGGAGUAGCAGUGGCAGCCAUAACAAGGCCGAUGAAAAUAUUGACACCGGUGGCAACAUUAUAGAUAUACAGGAAAAAAAAUACCUAAUAACUAUCGACGCAUACAGUGAUAGUAUUGUAUCAUUUUGUUUUCUGCGUUUAUUACUGAAAGGGUUGAAAUGUAUAGAUUUAAAUUUUUUACUUCAUAUGGGUUUUGAAGAACUAGCUAAAAAACUAAAAAGUAGCCUUAACGUACAUUUUAACAUAGAAUAUGUUGUAGAUUAUAUAUAUGAUCAUAUAAAAAAGGUAGUUUUUAAAAAAUUAGAUGAACCUGUGUCUUUAAAUUUUCCUACUAUUAACGAUUCUAAUAAAAAAAAAAAGACAGUGGAAAUGUUAAAAGUAGUACCAAAAGAGCUUAAAAGUGAUGAGAUGGUGGAAAAAAAGAUGAAUGACAGACCGAACAUACAUACAACGUUACAGGUUGAUAAUGUAUUACGUGAAGAUGAAUAUGUUAAAAAAUUAGUCCUAAAAAAUGUUAUGCAAGUUUUUGAAUAUCCUAAAGUUGCACAUAUGCUUAGUGGAGGUGUCGAUUCUUUAAUGGCUUUACUUUUAUUAGAAAAAAAAAAAUUUUACGUUGAUAAUUUUUUUUUUCAUUUUAAUAACUAUAACUGUAGUAAAAACGAUUUGAAGUAUGUAAAAAACAUUUGUAAAAAAAGAAACAAUUUAUAUAUUAUUAACAUAAAUGAUACAUAUUUUAUAAACGUUUUUUUACCAAUGUUAAAAAUGUAUUCAAUAGGACAAGUACCUAAUCCUGACAUUAUAUGUAAUCAAAAAAUAAAAUAUAAUCAUUUUAUUAAACAAUUAAAAAAUAUAUAUCAACAAAAAUAUAAGAAAGGACAAAGUUUUAAUAAUUACUCUUAUAUUUCAACAGGUCAUUAUGCUAUGAUCAGUACAAAUGACCCCUUAAAUGCUAAUAACAUUUUUAAUAACAAUUUUCCUUUUGUUUGUGAAAA
rnacentral:lncRNA from 1 species